rnacentral:rRNA from 1 species
ACUAAGCGUACACGGUGGAUGCCCUGGCAGUCAGAGGCGAUGAAGGGCGUGCUAAUCUGCGAUAAGCGCCGGUAAGGUGAUAUGAACCGUUAUAACCGGCGAUACCCGAAUGGGGAAACCCAGUGUGACUCGUCACACUAUCAUUAACUGAAUCCAUAGGUUAAUGAGGCGAACCGGGGGAACUGAAACAUCUAAGUACCCCGAGGAAAAGAAAUCAACCGAGAUUCCCCCAGUAGCGGCGAGCGAACGGGGAGGAGCCCAGAGCCUGAAUCAGCAUGUGUGUUAGUGGAAGCGUCUGGAAAGGCGCGCGAUACAGGGUGACAGCCCCGUACACAAAAGCGCAUGUGCUGUGAGCUCGAUGAGUAGGGCGGGACACGUGGUAUCCUGUCUGAAUAUGGGGGGACCAUCCUCCAAGGCUAAAUACUCCUGACUGACCGAUAGUGAACCAGUACCGUGAGGGAAAGGCGAAAAGAACCCCGGCGAGGGGAGUGAAAAAGAACCUGAAACCGUGUACGUACAAGCAGUGGGAGCNGUGACUGCGUACCUUUUGUAUAAUGGGUCAGCGACUUAUAUUCUGUAGCAAGGUUAACCGAAUAGGGGAGCCGGAGGGAAACCGAGUCUUAAUUGGGCGUUAAGUUGCAGGGUAUAGACCCGAAACCCGGUGAUCUAGCCAUGGGCAGGUUGAAGGUUGGGUAACACUAACUGGAGGACCGAACCGACUAAUGUUGAAAAAUUAGCGGAUGACCUGUGGCUGGGGGUGAAAGGCCAAUCAAACCGGGAGAUAGCUGGUUCUCCCCGAAAGCUAUUUAGGUAGCGCCUCGUGAAUUCAUCUCCGGGGGUAGAGCACUGUUUCGGCUAGGGGGCCAUCCCGGCUUACCAACCCGAUGCAAACUGCGAAUACCGGAGAAUGUUAUCACGGGAGACACACGGCGGGUGCUAACGUCCGUCGUGAAGAGGGAAACAACCCAGACCGCCAGCUAAGGUCCCAAAGUCAUGGUUAAGUGGGAAACGAUGUGGGAAGGCCCAGACAGCCAGGAUGUUGGCUUAGAAGCAGCCAUCAUUUAAAGAAAGCGUAAUAGCUCACUGGUCGAGUCGGCCUGCGCGGAAGAUGUAACGGGGCUAAACCAUGCACCGAAGCUGCGGCAGCGACGCUUAUGCGUUGUUGGGUAGGGGAGCGUUCUGUAAGCCUGUGAAGGUGGCCUGUGAGGGUUGCUGGAGGUAUCAGAAGUGCGAAUGCUGACAUAAGUAACGAUAAAGCGGGUGAAAAGCCCGCUCGCCGGAAGACCAAGGGUUCCUGUCCAACGUUAAUCGGGGCAGGGUGAGUCGACCCCUAAGGCGAGGCCGAAAGGCGUAGUCGAUGGGAAACGGGUUAAUAUUCCCGUACUUGGUGUUACUGCGAAGGGGGGACGGAGAAGGCUAUGUUGGCCGGGCGACGGUUGUCCCGGUUUAAGCGUGUAGGUGUGUGUUCCAGGUAAAUCCGGUUCACUUUAACACUGAGGCGUGAUGACGAGGCACUACGGUGCUGAAGCAACAAAUGCCCUGCUUCCAGGAAAAGCCUCUAAGCAUCAGGUAACAUCAAAUCGUACCCCAAACCGACACAGGUGGUCAGGUAGAGAAUACCAAGGCGCUUGAGAGAACUCGGGUGAAGGAACUAGGCAAAAUGGUGCCGUAACUUCGGGAGAAGGCACGCUGACACGUAGGUGAAGUGAUUUACUCAUGGAGCUGAAGUCAGUCGAAGAUACCAGCUGGCUGCAACUGUUUAUUAAAAACACAGCACUGUGCAAACACGAAAGUGGACGUAUACGGUGUGACGCCUGCCCGGUGCCGGAAGGUUAAUUGAUGGGGUCAGCGCAAGCGAAGCUCCUGAUCGAAGCCCCGGUAAACGGCGGCCGUAACUAUAACGGUCCUAAGGUAGCGAAAUUCCUUGUCGGGUAAGUUCCGACCUGCACGAAUGGCGUAAUGAUGGCCAGGCUGUCUCCACCCGAGACUCAGUGAAAUUGAACUCGCUGUGAAGAUGCAGUGUACCCGCGGCAAGACGGAAAGACCCCGUGAACCUUUACUAUAGCUUGACACUGAACAUUGAGCCUUGAUGUGUAGGAUAGGUGGGAGGCUUUGAAGCGUGGACGCCAGUCUGCGUGGAGCCGACCUUGAAAUACCACCCUUUAAUGUUUGAUGUUCUAACGUGGACCCGUAAUCCGGGUUGCGGACAGUGUCUGGUGGGUAGUUUGACUGGGGCGGUCUCCUCCUAAAGAGUAACGGAGGAGCACGAAGGUUGGCUAAUCCUGGUCGGACAUCAGGAGGUUAGUGCAAUGGCAUAAGCCAGCUUGACUGCGAGCGUGACGGCGCGAGCAGGUGCGAAAGCAGGUCAUAGUGAUCCGGUGGUUCUGAAUGGAAGGGCCAUCGCUCAACGGAUAAAAGGUACUCCGGGGAUAACAGGCUGAUACCGCCCAAGAGUUCAUAUCGACGGCGGUGUUUGGCACCUCGAUGUCGGCUCAUCACAUCCUGGGGCUGAAGUAGGUCCCAAGGGUAUGGCUGUUCGCCAUUUAAAGUGGUACGCGAGCUGGGUUUAGAACGUCGUGAGACAGUUCGGUCCCUAUCUGCCGUGGGCGCUGGAGAACUGAGGGGGGCUGCUCCUAGUACGAGAGGACCGGAGUGGACGCAUCACUGGUGUUCGGGUUGUCAUGCCAAUGGCACUGCCCGGUAGCUAAAUGCGGAAGAGAUAAGUGCUGAAAGCAUCUAAGCACGAAACUUGCCCCGAGAUGAGUUCUCCCUGAGACUUAGAGUCUCCUGAAGGAACGUUGAAGACGACGACGUUGAUAGGCCGGGUGUGUAAGCGCAGCGAUGCGUUGAGCUAACCGGUACUAAUGAACCGUGAGGCUUAACC